CUACAACUUAAUAGGGAUGGUGCAGUAUUCUAGUCAAUCUACCAGUUCUGAAGGUGGGCCUAAAAAUCCACUAAAGGGCACAUCGAUGAAGUUCCUUGUUUCGGCUUGAGGCGCCCAGCCUUGGGUCGAAGCUGGGAGUAAGGUACAAGGGCGAUCCACAAUGGCAUGUGGGCGUUGACCCUUGCACCGCGGAGGUUCCGUUCUGGGCCGGCAAGUUGCAUGAGCAACAGAACGGAGUAUAGACCUGCGAUGCGGUGACAACCGCUAGCAGCGUAGCCUGCCUUGAGUGAAGUGUGAGGGGAUUAUGGUUACAAGGUACACAUCAGUUGGCCAUUGAUAUGUGCUUUUUCGCCCAUAUGAAAUCCACUUUGCAAAAGAGGCUAAGAACAUGGUUAAAGGUUGCUGAGGAAAACUCCUAGACUGUUCCCAUUUGUGACAUAUAUUGAGGAUUAUAGUGCGGACUAAGUGGUAAUCCAGUCUAACUGCUGGUGACACAGUUAAGUCGGGUUUAAAGGGAAACCGCCGGUAUGGCGACAUCCGGUACCUGAUUGGGAAAACCUACUGGACCUAAGCUGCAAUUUUUACUCAAUGUAUGACCAUCCCUUUACAUAUUUGA
rnacentral:sRNA from 14 species